rnacentral:lncRNA from 1 species
GCGGAUAGGUUGAGGGCGAAGUGGGUUGGCGCCGUGCGGCCGCGGUACCCGUGGCUGUUGUCUCAAGGCCAGGCACAGGCGGGGCUGCAUGACCUGAUGGUCGCAGAGGCGGCGGCUGCAGCGGCAGCUACUGCUACGGGCGAGCCCUCAGUAGCCUGCGGCGGCGGUGGCAGCAGCGGGAGCAGUAGCAGGAGCAGUAGUGGGCAGGGCAGCAGCAGCGAUGGGCCGGUAUUUGAGCACAAGCUGUGCUACAACCCGCGCUGCUGCUCGCUGGACGGCCCCAGCGCGUUGGUUGCGCCCCGCGGCGGCAAGACGUGUGUGCGGUGCCGUGCUGCCACGUAUUGCUGCGGCGCUUGCCAGCUUGUGGACUGGCGUGAGCGGCACUCUGGCACCUGCAGUGGAGCCGCCGCGGCGGCGGCAGGGUCAGCAGGGACAGCGAAGGCAGCGCUGAAGAAGGCAUGAAUGCUACGGGCGAGCCCUCAGUAGCCUGCGGCGGCGGUGGCAGCAGCGGGAGCAGUAGCAGGAGCAGUAGUGGGCAGGGCAGCAGCAGCGAUGGGCCGGUAUUUGAGCACAAGCUGUGCUACAACCCGCGCUGCUGCUCGCUGGACGGCCCCAGCGCGUUGGUUGCGCCCCGCGGCGGCAAGACGUGUGUGCGGUGCCGUGCUGCCACGUAUUGCUGCGGCGCUUGCCAGCUUGUGGACUGGCGUGAGCGGCACUCUGGCACCUGCAGUGGAGCCGCCGCGGCGGCGGCAGGGUCAGCAGGGACAGCGAAGGCAGCGCUGAAGAAGGCAUGAACUGACGAAGUGCAACAGCAGUAUGGACCCGAAGACUGCGCUUCAAAUGCGGCGUUUUGCGGUUUGUAUGAGAGUGAGAGUGCGAUGCAUGGCGUGGACUCUUGGGUCGUUUGCCACGCCGAGCGUGCAGCAAGAAGCGCUCAAAAAGCCCAAUUGGCUCUGCUUUGCAUUAGCGCAUUACGGUUGAUGACCGCUGACGCGGGUGGUCCGCGCCUUCAUCGGCCGGGAUUACAGAGCGGACUCCACACCGAAUGUAUGAGUGCCAGACCUGCGAUGCUAAUCUUACUUCGCCAAGGCUAGCCUCCUCGCUCCUUUGAGGCUUGAUACCGUAUCAAGGUUUUGGGCAGGAGUAGGGGCAUCAUGAGCGGCGGCGGGGUAACAGGGUGGGGUACAGGCUGCAGUGUUGUUCGGGUUUGGGCGCGUUCUAGGCAUGUGGCACCCGUAUGUGGCAGAGCAAUUUGACUGUCCCCAACAUGUUUAUGUGCCCGCCGAGAAUGCUAAGCUGACGGUCUGAACUUCGCGGUUUUUGUAGUUGCACGACUGUAUGUCAUUAGAGUUUCGGCCAUUGUCGCAGGUGCAGGCGCAGUGCAGUAGAAUGCAGGGGCGUGGGCGAGGAGGAGAGGGCUGACGGACAACUGGAGGCCGUGAUGCGGCGGUAGAUACGGUAGGUACAGGACUGGGAGGCGCACCAAAUGCAUGACUGACUUACCAGUGCACGGCUGAACGCGAUGGCUACAUGUGCGGACUGCGGACGGGCUUGGAACAUCAGCUUAUGAAUGAGGGACGGUGCACUGUUGCCGACGCAUUCGGCCUAUCACGGCAUGCACUCACAUGGCAUCAUCUCGCUCUACACCGCCAGUCUUUGGUGCCACGGCAAGAGGUGGGGCCCCGGUGGAUGGGUGUGCAGGAGGGCGGGGUGGUUUGGCGGUAGGGAUGGGAGUGCGGAAGUGGACGACAAGGUCAAGCUUGCAGGAGGUGUUGUUUGCGGUAACAGCUGGAUGGUGGCAUGUUUUGUCGUUGUAAUAUGGGACAAGCAGCAUGAGGAUGCGUUGUCGAGGAUCAAGUUCACGAGCAUGCCAUCAGGUGAGUUGAACAAGAAAGGCCGUUAGUAAGGGCGUGCUAUGGCUGCUGCAAGUUGUUUCGGGUUAAGGAGGAGGGUGGCAUCCCUGGCCACUGGCGAUCCACCGGGUCACCUGCGCAAGGUAGGCGGUGGCGAGCUCCUUGUUGUUGGGGGGGGGCGGGUGGCACAGCCGCACAGCCGGUUUGGUGGUUGGAUGACGGUGGCAGUGCCGGGCCAGUUCCUGAUACCUUCCGUACUCGUGAUGAGCCGUGUGUGACAUCCGUACUCGUGAUGUUCGGUGUUUGUGUCAUAGCCUUGGGCAAACCUAACUGAGCAUUUACGUGGUUUCGAGUCCAACUCGGACACCUGCAAUUCAUCUGUGAUCUGUCAGCUGAGAGCACGCACAUGACGGACGCGGGUCUGCUGCACGUGGCGUACGGCUGCCCCGCCCUGCACAGCCUGCGCUUCAGCGCCACGGGCAUCGCCGAUUGGGGCGUGCGCCGACCGGUGGUGCUGGCAGGGCCUCUGCCCGGUGUUCGCGUCGUGGUCGCAGCAGCAGGGGCAGAAGGCUGGAGGGGCGGCGUUAAGGCGGCAGGCGCUGUGGGUGCCGAGGCACGGGCGGCUUGCAACCAGAUGGCAGCGCGCUGUUGGUUGGGACGUUGGGUUGCACUUGGGGGUGCGCUGGGUGAUAACUUUGUUGCAGGAACGGUGGUAGGCGCCUGGCGUGCGGUAUCCCGCGAGCAGCGGGUGCGCCGCGACGCGUUGACCACUCAGCCUGGCUGCGCACGCUAUGGUCAACUCGGCAUGGGGCCGUUCGACAGAGGCCAGCACACAUGCCGACGUGUAUCCGCUGUCCCCUCCCAGCUGUCCCUUCCAGUAGUCCCUUCCAGUUGUCCCUUCCAGCUGUCCCACACCAACUGUCCCACCCCAGCUGUCCCUUCGGCUCCCUUCUCAAAACGCAGCUUUCAGCAAAAUCUACAGCCUGCCCGACUCCCAGCGUGUGCGACCUUCCGCCCGCCUUCCAAAACGCAACAGCCCCCGCCUCUCCUCGCCAGCCGCUCACAGCCGAAACUCUGCUUCUUUCUUUAUCAGCCACAAACAUCAGCCACAAACAAGGCCUCGGAAACAACGCCUCGGAAACUUCCUCCCAACUAGUGCGCGGCCACAGCUCCCCUACCGAACGUCGCAGCACCUAUCCUCACCAUCAGCAACGCUUCCUCACCUCCGGUUGUGUUGUUGGCGUGUUGCACCGCAUUCGGCCUGCCCGCCACAAUUGUCGUACACAUUCGGGCCCCUCUUCUGCUUUGCUUCGCCUUGUUCCUGCCCCUGUUUGUCACACUGUCGCCCGGCCAUUGUUUUGCUGCACGCCGUUGCAUUACGCUAGUGCUCGUCUACACAGCUCAUCCGUGGACGCCGGUCGACUGCCUGCAGGUGCGCAUCGGCUAUGCUAUCCGCGCGGUGUGGCGUCGCAUUGAGUCUGUGUGGUGCUAUCGCCUUGGCCGGGCGCCCGGAGCGUGAGGAAUGCGCGUCAGCAAAACAUCGACACAACCUGCCAGCUACCGUCGGUACAGUAACAGCGCGCGAACGACGCACCAAUGCCUUGUCCCUUCUUGCUACGCAUUUAUGUGGGCACGGGUGGGAGCCACACACAUCGGGACUACGCUUUCCUGCCCCUUGCCAUGUUCCAUCACAUGCCGACGUGUAGCAGUUUGGACUUUAUUAAUAGGUUGCACUGUUGACGUGAGCUCAAGCUUUCCGCUUAGAAGAGUAGUUGCUAGCAGUGCUAGUGAAGCUGCGUAUACUGUAACUUUCCUGAAGUCGUCAAUUUUUUCUACGCUGCAUACGCACCCUCAUGAUAAUCCUGGUUGUCAUAGAACAUGCCACCUAGACGGGCUCGAGUCCCUGCAACUCUCGAGAGCCGCAUCAAGCAAGGUCUGCAAUACUUUGCUGGCCUGCGCGAGGACGAGGCAGCAGAUGUUGCCCGUGCAAAGGACCUGGGCGAUGCACUCCUUGAAGCUGACAUGAACAUUAUCAGCAAUACCGGGAUUUUGAGCGGCAUCGUGGCUGCGCAUGCCUGGGCCGCGCGUGCGCUUGCCGUUGACGUUCUGAACGACUCGGCUUACGUCGCUUUUGUAGCGACCGCAACUAAUCUAGGAGAACUGCUCAGCAGCCAGCCGGGCGACCAAGCUUACGGCAGGCAGGACCGGUUGGUCCGAGCCCUGCUGAGGGCGGACACGCUCGCCGUGCACGCGAGGCUGUGUGUACGGACGCUCGCGCCCACCCGCGGGGCCGCCGCCCGCCGCAGCCUCCGGCCACCGGAUGCAAUCAAGCGGGAUCUGGUAUGGCGUGUCCUCCAGAACCUCUCCACGAUUGCCCGAUUUGUGAACAACAGCCGGGAUGCUGGCCUCAAGCACGAGCUGGUGACGGCGCUGGCGCACACGCAGCUGCUCGAGCACGCCGCGCGGGCGCUGCUAAGCGCCGCCCAGGCCAUUCAGCCCGCAUCCAGCGAAGGAACUUCAGGGGCGGCUGCAGCUUCGGGAACGGGGCUUCCACCUGAGAGCUGGAUAACCGUGUCGGGCGUAGCAACCACAUUUGCCCACGCGCUUUCGUGCCUGGUGGGCACAGACCUGCGCACUACCGCGCUGUGCCCACGACCCCGCGAACGGGACGCAUCUGUGGAGGUGUCGCAGAAUUCGAGGCAGCUACAACUGCUGGAGCAGCUGCGGCCGCUGCUGGCCAGCCGCUGCGUGCAGCUCUGCACGGGAUGGGCGGGCCUGUGUGCGGCCAUUACCGUACGGCAGCGGGCAGCGGACGACAGCGCUCAGCAGGGCUUGGUACCAACUGCGUCGCAGCUGUGGCACGGGCUGCCGUCGGAGCUGAUACGGCCGCUGCAGCUGCCGCCGCAGGCCACUGUGUCAAGCCAGGAUAUGGUGCGCACAGCGACCCUGGUACGUAUACGGUACUCGACCGCCGAUGCGCAAGAUGGGCUGCUGCGUUAGUUGACGGGGAGCUUGACGGGGAUAUAAGUGCAUGAACUGCAAUGCUCCCGGCGGGGCUCUCCGGUAUACAAUCUAGUGUUGGCAUUACAGGAACUUAGCGUUGACAUUAGCUCGCCAUUUGCUCGCCGCCUUGCAGGCACUGCCUAUGGUCCUGCAGGUGACGGUCAGCGGCCCCUGCGACCUGGCCAUCGCCCAGCCGCCCGUGGGCUACGACCGCCUGCCGCACAGGCAGCCACAGCCGCAGCGACCAUCGGCGGGGCCAUCAGCAGCGGGGUCAGCAGCAGCGGAGGGGCCGGCUGCAGCACCAGCACCAGCUUCGUACAGCGCCGUAAACGCGUACGGGCUGCUUAAGGCAUUAUGGCACUGCCUGGCCUGUGACCGCGCCACUUACACGUGCAACCUGUGCGCAGUCGCCACGGUAAUGACCCGGCUGCUGACGGAGCUGCGGCCGCGGCAGGCGGCGGUGCUGCUGCCGAGUUGGUGGCAGCUGCUGGCGCAGGAGCCGUCCAUGCUCAUUGAGGGGUACGGGCUUGCGCAGGACGCAGGGGAGCUGCUGCGGCUGCAGUUGAAUGCGCCGCCGCCGGUCGCGUGGGCUGUUGGGGUGACGGAUGCAGCUUCCGUGGCUGCGGCGAGUGUGGACUGGCCGCCGGAAGCGGCGGAGGUGCAGGACGCGGAGGCGGCGACAGCAGCGAAGGCAGCAGCCAGCCUGGCGCGUGAGAGGGACCCCAGCUACAGCCUCCGCUGCGCGCUGGACGCGGGGCUGCUGUCAGUUAUGGAACGGUGCCUUCGCGCGCCACAGGCCUGGCGGCAGUCCAACAGCGUGAGCAAGCUGCUGUACGUCGUAAACUGCGUGCUGCGCUACUCGGGCGUGUGGCCCGCGGUGCUGGCUCGCGGUCCCGUGCAGCAGGCGGUGUCGCUGAUUGCCACGCUGGGCGCAGCAGCUCGGCUGCUGCAGGAGAAGGACACGUCACUGGACGUGAUAAGCCGUGCCUCCCAGCCUGGCAUGCAAACAACGGCAAGGUGCGGCGCCGGCGGCUACCUGUGUGCCUACCUGUCCGCAAUGCUGGAGCAGGUCGUGGACGUGCGGGCGCUGGGCGAGGGCGCACAGCAGCAGCAGCAGCGGGAGGAGCAGCAGGCAGCAGCUAUCGAUGCUACGGCCACAGCCGCAAUUUCCACCCCACUGCACCUCAACUCGGUGCUGGAGCAGGUAGUGGAUUCGAAGGACGGCAGUGUCGAGCCCUCCACGUGCUCCAUCGCCUGGAUGGCGGCGGCGGGCGGCCUGCCAGCUGCCGGCUCCACAGCGUACCGGCAGCAGCAGCUGCUCACGAGCUUCGCGGUGUACCAGUGGCUGCCCAUGCUGGCAAAGGCAACGGAGGAUGCCUUGUGGAGUAGUGAGGCGGGCGCCGAGGGCUGGCUGUCGCAGGCGCUCCUGGUGGGGCACCUGGUGAUGGAUGUGCUCUGGCGCGAGGAGCGCCCGCCAGCUGAAGCCGACGAGGGCGCUGGCUCACACAACCGACGACAGGACGCGGCGUGGUGGGAGGGCGUGACGCAGACUGGCCAGCUUGCGAAGAGCAUGCACAAUAUUAUGGACGUGCUGGCAACAGACGCCGUAAGGCCGCUGCUGCUUGAGCACUGUGAACAGUGGCAGCAGGCAGCCGUGUUGGACCUGUUGCAAUCCUAUUGGACACGCUUUGCGGGGGCGGCGCGUGUCACGAUACGUGCGUGGGCGAUACGGGCGGCCGAACAACAGCAUCAGCGGACGGAUGGAAAGCAGCAGGCUGGGCAGGCGGCGGAGGGCGGGAAGGGCAGCAGCACGAGCAGCCUUGGCGACAGCACAGCACAGCAGCGGCAGGCGCCACCGCCCGAGCUAGUGCUGCAGUGCUUGACGCCGCUGCCGAUGCAGCAGCUGGCAGCGGUGCACGGGCGGCAGGACAUGGUGGAUUACCUGGACGCAGUAGCUAAGGGUUUGAGAGGGGAAAUGAUGAUUGAGUGCGGCAGUGCCGGCGCCGGCGGAAGCGGCAUGGGGGUGCAAGGGCCUGCCAGCAUGGAGGGCGGCGCGUCGCACGCUAGCGCCACGGCGGAUAGGUUGAGGGCGAAGUGGGUUGGCGCCGUGCGGCCGCGGUACCCGUGGCUGUUGUCUCAAGGCCAGGCACAGGCGGGGCUGCAUGACCUGAUGGUCGCAGAGGCGGCGGCUGCAGCGGCAGCUACUGCUACGGGCGAGCCCUCAGUAGCCUGCGGCGGCGGUGGCAGCAGCGGGAGCAGUAGCAGGAGCAGUAGUGGGCAGGGCAGCAGCAGCGAUGGGCC